CCUACGGGAGGCAGCAGAGGAGGAAGCUCCGGCUAACUACGUGCCAGCAGCCGCGGUAAUACGUAGGGAGCAAGCGUUGUCCGGAUUUACUGGGUGUAAAGGGUGCGUAGGCGGCUUUGCAAGUCAGAAGUGAAAUCCAUGGGCUUAACCCAUGAACUGCUUUUGAAACUGCAGAGCUUGAGUGGAGUAGAGGUAGGCGGAAUUCCCGGUGUAGCGGUGAAAUGCGUAGAGAUCGGGAGGAACACCAGUGGCGAAGGCGGCCUGCUGGGCUCUAACUGACGCUGAGGCACGAAAGCGUGGGUAGCAAACAGGAUUAGAUACCCGGGUAGUC
rnacentral:rRNA from 1 species